rnacentral:rRNA from 1 species
UACGAAGGGGGCGAGCGUUGUUCGGAUUUACUGGGCGUAAAGGGCGCGUAGGCGUCGGGUCAAGUCGAGUGUGAAAGCCCCGGGCUCAACCUGGGAAUUGCGCUCGAGACUGGUCUGCUUGAGUUCGGGAGAGGAGAGUGGAAUUCCCAGUGUAGAGGUGAAAUUCGUAGAUAUUGGGAAGAACACCGGUGGCGAAGGCGGCUCUCUGGACCGAGACUGACGCUGAGGCGCGAAAGCGUGGGGAGCAAACAGG